rnacentral:rRNA from 1 species
UACGGAGGGUGCAAGCGUUAUCCGGAUUUAUUGGGUUUAAAGGGUCCGUAGGCGGAUCUGUAAGUCAGUGGUGAAAUCUCAUAGCUUAACUAUGAAACUGCCAUUGAUACUGCAGGUCUUGAGUAAGGUAGAAGUAGCUGGAAUAAGUAGUGUAGCGGUGAAAUGCAUAGAUAUUACUUAGAACACCAAUUGCGAAGGCAGGUUACUAUGUCUUAACUGACGCUGAUGGACGAAAAGCGUGGGGGAGCGAACAGG